rnacentral:rRNA from 1 species
UACGUAGGGGGCAAGCGUUGUCCGGAAUCAUUGGGCGUAAAGCGCGCGUAGGCGGCCCGGUAAGUCCGUUGUGAAAGUCAAAGGCUCAACCUUUGAAUGCCGAUGGAUACUGCCGGGCUAGAGUCCGGAAGAGGCGAGUGGAAUUCCUGGUGUAGCGGUGAAAUGCGCAGAUAUCAGGAGGAACACCGAUGGCGAAGGCAGCUCGCUGGGACGGUACUGACGCUGAGGCGCGAAAGCGUGGGGAGCAAAC